rnacentral:rRNA from 1 species
AUGGGAUUAGCUAGUAGGUGGGGUAACGGCUCACCUAGGCGACGAUCCCUAGCUGGUCUGAGAGGAUGACCAGCCACACUGGAACUGAGACACGGUCCAGACUCCUACGGGAGGCAGCAGUGGGGAAUAUUGCACAAUGGGCGCAAGCCUGAUGCAGCCAUGCCGCGUGUAUGAAGAAGGCCUUCGGGUUGUAAAGUACGUUUCAGCGGGGAGGAAGGGAGUAAAGUUAAUACCUUUGCUCAUUGACGUUACCCGCAGAAGAAGCACCGGCUAACUCUGUGCCAGCAGCCGCGGUAAUACGGAGGGUGCAAACGUUAAUCGGAAUUACUGGGCGUAAAGCGCACGCAGGCGGUUUGUUAAGUCAGAUGUGAAAUCCCCGGGCUCAACCUGGGAACUGCAUCUGAUACUGGCAAGCUUGAGUCUCGUAGAGGGGGGUAGAAUUACAGGUGUAGCAGUGAAAUGCGUAGAGAUCUGGAGGAAUACCGGUGGCGAAGGCGGCACACUGG